CACUGCCCCCCAUUAACAGGUAACCCCCCCAUAGUACAGUUACUAUCACUGCCCCCCAUUAAUAAGUAGCCCACCCAAUAAUACAGUUACUAUCACUGCCCCCCAUUAAUAGGUAACCUCUACAUUAUAGAGUUACUGUCACUGCCCCCAUUAACAUGCAAUCCCCCCAAUAAUACAGUUAGAGCCAUAUAAUAUCACGGAAUAGGCGAGAGCUGUAUUAUCUCACAGAGCAGGUGAGAGCUGUAAAAUCUCACGGAAUAUGCGAGAGCUGUAUAAUCUCACGGAGCAGGUGUGAGCUGUAUAAUGUCACGGAAUAGGCGAGAGCUGUAUUAUCUCACGGAGCAGGUUAGAGCUGUAUAGUCUCACGGAAUAGGUGAGAGCUGUAAAAUCUCAUGGAAUAUGCGAGAGCUGUAUAAUCUCACGGAAUAGGCGAGAGCUGUAUUAUCUCAAGAAGCAGGUGAGAGCUGUAUAAUCUCACGGAAUAGGCGAGAGCUGUAUAAUCUCACGGAAUAGGCGAGAGCUGUAUAAUCUCACAGAGCAGGUAAGAGCUGUAUAAUCUCACGGAAUAGGCGAGAGCUGUAUAAUCUCACAGAGCAGGUGAGAGCUGUAUAAUCUCACGGAAUAGGCGAGAGCUAUAAAAUCUCACAGAGCAGGUAGAGCUGUAUAAUCUCACGGAAUAGGCGAGAGCUGUAAAAUCUCACAGAGCAGGUGAGAGCUGUAUAAUCUCACGGAAUAGGCGAGAGCUGUAAAAUCUCACAGAGCAGGUAAGAGCUGUAUAAUCUCACGGAAUAGGCGAGAGCUGUAAAAUCUCACAGAGCAGGUGAGAGCUGUAUAAUAUCACGGAAUAGGCGAGAGCUGUAAAAUCUCACAGAGCAGGUGAGAGCUGUAUAAUGUCACGGAAUAGGCGAGAGCUGUAAAAUCUCACAGAGCAGGUAAGAGCUGUAUAAUAUCACGGAAUAGGCGAGAGCUGUAAAAUCUCACAGAGCAGGUGAGAGCUGUAUAAUGUCACGGAAUAGGCGAGAGCUGUAAAAUCUCACAGAGCAGGUGAGAGCUGUAUAAUAUCACGGAAUAGGCGAGAGCUGUAAAAUCUCACAGAGCAGGUGAGAGCUGUAUAAUAUCACGGAAUAGGCGAGAGCUGUAAAAUCUCACAGAGCAGGUGACAGACAAGGAAUCUCACAAUAAGCAGUCAGUCAUAUAACGUUUUACUAAUUUAGAUAUCUAUUGCCCCACCGUCUAGUUUAGUCCUGUGAUAAUUAAAAUCACAAACUGUUAGACAUUUCCCUCUGGAUUGAUGUGAAUUUUAAAAUCAUACAAACCUUUCCUUUAAGAUCCGUCGGUAGAGUAAAUUUUGCUAAAACAGUCUUUGAUUCUAUACAGAAUAACUGAGUCUUUUUAUAAAUAUUUGUGUUAAAAUUCUUUCAAAAAUAAAGCACAGUACGAGAACAUAUAUAUAUUCGAUUAGGCCAGAUCCAGAACUUUUCCUGCUGUUGCAGUUUGGAGAGUUACUUUAUUAGCAGUUUGUUAUCCCUCUAAUCAGAUUUAGAAACCGUAAGAGAAGUUACUCUCUCUGCUGUGUGUAUUUACAGGCAGAGAGCUUUGCUGCGGCUGGGAGAGAUGGAUGUGGGAUUGAGACCUCGAGCUCUGGAAAGUGAGUAUCUCCAAUCAUUCUCUAACCAGAUUGACAAAACCACAAUCUUACUAUGAAGUCUUUAAAUCGCAGUUUUGCCAUCAUAGAAACAUAGAAACAUAGAAUGUGACGGCAGAUAAGAACCAUUCGGCCCAUCUAGUCUGCCCAAUUUUCUAAAUACUUUCAUUAGUCCCUAGUCUUAUCUUAUAGUUAGGAUAGCCUUAUGCCUAUCCCACGCAUGCUUAAACUCCUUUACUGUGUUAACCUCUACCACUUCAGCUGGAAGGCUAUUCCAUGCAUCCACUACCCUCUCAGUAAAGUAAUACUUCCUGAUAUUAUUUUUAAACCUUUGUCUCUCUAAUUUAAGACUAUGUCCUCUUGUUGUGGUAGUUUUUCUUCUUUUAAAUAUAGUCUCCUCCUUUACUGUGUUGAUUCCCUUUAUAUAUUUAAAUGUUUCUAUCAUAUCCCCCCUGUCUCGUCUUUCCUCCAAGCUAUACAUGUUAAGAUCCUUUAACUUUUCCUGAUAAGUUUUAUCCCGCAAUCCAUGAACCAGUUUAGUAGCCCUUCUCUAAACCCUCUCUAAGGUAUCAAUAUCCUUCUGAAUAGCUCCUCCUUCAGAUGGCUAUCCUAAUGUUCCGUUCCCUCUCCUCCUUCAGAUGGCUAUCCUAAUGUUCCGUUCCCUCUCCUCCUUCAGAUGGCUAUCCUAAUGUUCCGUUCCCUCUCCUCCUUCAGAUGGCUAUCCUAAUGUUCCGUUCCCUCUCCUCCUUCAGAUGGCUAUCCUAAUGUUCCGUUCCCUCUCCUCCUUCAGAUGGCUAUCCUAAUGUUCCGUUCCCUCUCCUCCUUCAGAUGGCUAUCCUAAUGUUCCGUUCCCUCUCCACCUUCAGAUGGCUAUCCUAAUGUUCCGUUCCCUCUCCACCUUCAGAUGGCUAUCCUAAUCUUCGGUUCCCUCUCCUCCUUCAGAUGGCUUUCCCUCUGUUCAGUUCUCUCUGUAAUGUUCUGUCUUUCAGAUGGGUUCCUCCCUUGUGUUGUACGGCCUUUGCAACAUGGCAUCAUACCAUUCAUUAAUCUACCUUUGAAAAAGGUCUCAAUUUUUCCUUUCACAACAGCGCUGGAUCCCCCUGCGAAGCCUUAUCUAACGGGCUCUUUGAAGCAAGACAUUCACAGAUACUUCAUAGUGCAGAGAUCAUAUGCAAAUAGUCACUUGUGAAUUAUAUCUAAAUUUAUUUAUGCAGCUAUAAUAAUAUGACUUUGUUGAUUUGUUCAGAGAAGCACUAAGUCAAUCUCAAUAUUACAUUUUGUGUGGCCCAUACAAAGAUCUUAUUUCUUGUAGACCUACAUAUUAAAAUUGAUGUGCAACAAAUACUAAAUACAUACUUACAAUUACAUUAAAAAUUCCCUUGAUGAAAGUACACAAAUUGCAUUGAAGUGCUGAAUUAAAAGUGCAAAUGUUGUAGUGUCUGCUUCUACCUUUAGGGAGAGUCAGAACUCCUACUACAGAAAUAAGAGGUAUAAAGGAUUGCGAUACCCGAUUUUCACUGCAAGGGUGAAGCAAACCUCCCUCCUCGAUCAUUAAAAUGCA